rnacentral:rRNA from 1 species
GUGCCUAACACAUGCAAGUCGAACGAGAAAGUCCCCGCAAGGGGAUGAGUAAAGUGGCGACCGGGUGAGUAACACGUGACUAACCUGCCUUCGAGUGGGGAAUAACCUCGGGAAACCGGGGCUAAUACCGCAUAACAUUCCAAUUCGAGACGAUUGGAAUCAAAGGAGCAAUUCGCUUGAAGAGGGGGUCGCGGCCGAUUAGCUAGUUGGCGGGGUAACGGCCCACCAAGGCAGUGAUCGGUAGCCGGCCUGAGAGGGCGCACGGCCACACUGGAACUGAAACACGGUCCAG